UUUUCUUUUUCAGCUUAGUCGGUAAAAUGAGUACCAGCAUGCAUGGACUGCUUAGAAGCGGCUGCCAUUUGCGCCUGUAUAUGCUUCCAGUCCGCUUGGGGUAAAUUGAUCAUUGUAAAGCGCCUUUGAAACGUUUGUGAUAAAGGCGCUAUAUAAAUGCACCACCU